CAGAUUUCCAGCCCUACUUUGAGACACACUCUCUAGGAAGGUGCUGUUCUUGCAAACUACCCAGAUGACUCUGAAGUGCAAUCAAAUUCAAGAACUUGCAUCAGGACGAGGACUGCUCAAAUCCAGCUUCCUAAUCUUACGCCGUGGAGCCCAGCCGGGCCCAACUUCCCCACUGAUGCUCUAUUCCUGGGAAAAUUGUUUUGAAUUUGGGACACUUAAAAGGGACCUCCAAGAUAUGCCCCUGCCUGUGUGUGCAGGAAGACUUCAGGACAUCACCUGCAUGCAUUCCCAGGGAGGGCUGUACCGCUUUACUCAGUCCAAAAAAACUCCCUGCUUCCACCCUUUCUGCCUCUUAUGAAGCAACAGUGGAGAGGAAAAACAAAACCCAUUCCUUUAAGAAAGAUUCCGC
rnacentral:lncRNA from 1 species